CGGACGGGUGAGUAAUGUCUGGGAAACUGCCCGAUGGAGGGGGAUAACUACUGGAAACGGUAGCUAAUACCGCAUAACGUCGCAAGACCAAAGAGGGGGACCUUCGGGCCUCUUGCCAUCGGAUGUGCCCAGAUGGGAUUAGCUAGUAGGUGGGGUAACGGCUCACCUAGGCGACAUCCCUAGCUGGUCUGAGAGGAUGACCAGCCACACUGGAACUGAGACACGGUCCAG
rnacentral:rRNA from 1 species